ACUGUCCAGAUUAGCCAUGCAUGUCUCAGUAUAAGCUUCUAUACGGCGAAACUGCGAAUGGCUCAUUAAAACAGUUAUAGUUUAUUUGGUGGUCAGCAAUUACAUGGAUAACCGUGGUAAUUCUAGAGCUAAUACAUGCGCCCAAACCCGACUUCGUGGAAGGGUUGUGUUUAUUAGAUACAGAACCAACCCAGGCUCCGCCUGGCCUUGAGGUGAUUCAUAAUAACCGAACGAAUCGCAUGGCUAUGCCGGCGAUAGACCAUUCAAGUUUCUGACCUAUCAGCUAUCGUCGGUAGGGUAUUGGCCUACCGUGGCAAUGACGGGUAACGGAGAAUUAGGGUUCGAUUCCGGAGAGGGAGCCUGAGAAACGGCUACCACAUCUAAGGAAGGCAGCAGGCGCGCAAAUUACCCAAUCCUGACGCAGGGAGGUAGUGACAAGAAAUAACAAUACAGGGCAUACAUGUCUUGUAAUUGGAAUGAGUAAACUUUAAAUCACUUUA
rnacentral:rRNA from 1 species